AAACCAACAGGAUGAAGCUGUGGCUGAUUUAAAGAAUCUGAAAAUCCUAAAUAAAACAUUGCAGGAAGAAACUGAGAAACUCAGCCAAAAAGUGGAGAACCUAAAUGAAAAAUCACAGAAUGAAACCAAGAAACUCAGCAGCCAAAUUGAGAAUCUAGAUGUAAAAUUACGGGUAGAAACUGAGAACCUGAACCAGACCAUCCAGUUAAUCCAGAAAUUCAAAGCCUUCCUGUUCAAUGAGCAAUGCAACUACAAAGAGUGUCUGCCGUGUCAGACAGGUUGGAUCUACUUCAGUGAUUCUUGUUACUUAUUCAGUAAUGUUGAGAGGACCUGGGAUGGAAGUCGUUGGUUCUGUCAGAACAAAUCUGCUGAUCUGGUUGUUAUUAAUAAUCAGCAGGAACAGGAAUUCAUUUAUGGCAACAUAAACACAAACAAAUACUACUGGUUGGGACUACGGAAUUAUGGGAGAUAUGUGAAUUCUGUGAGUUUUGUGAAUUCUACGAGUUCUGUGAGUUCUGUGAGCGUCUGGGUUU